GACCCUGUGACGGAGUGGUUGAACGUGCCGGUCUGCAAAAUCGGUGGCAUGAAUUUGUCCGCGAGUUCGAAUCUCGCUAGGGUCUCCA
rnacentral:tRNA from 2 species